rnacentral:tRNA from 1 species
GACAGUUUGGUCGGGUGGUCUAGGGUGCCAGAUUUAGGCUCUGGUCCGAAAGGGCGUGGGUUCAAAUCCCAAGCUGACU